ACAGACACCUCUCAGCAUAAGCUAGCAUACCACGUGCUGGUACAGGUAAGGUGGGGAGAUGGAGGCCCCACUCGGAGGGGUGAGGCCACCUUAGAUUAUCUCACAUCACAACUGUGGCUCUACUAUACUUCACAAAUUAAUCCUUUCUCCUCCUUACGGCUAUAAAUACCCCAGCAAAUUCAUUCCCAGUAUUUAUUGCCAAUUCUGGGAGCAGGGUGCAGAGUUAAGGUUGUUGUGGCAUGUACCUUUACUCUGGUAUUCAGAGGUGUGACUUUUGCUCAAACUCAGUCUUUUGGAAGGACAUGAGAUACCAAUGGACACCCUCAACUCUGCAUUAAAGCUUUUUUUUUUUACUCAAUGAUUUUUUUACUUGGGGUGAUAUAUUCUGGAUAAGUUUAAUUCCCAAGGUCAAAACCUUUUGUACCAUAGUUAUGACAUAUUGAUUUGCAUAAGCACCUUGUCUGCACAGUACUUUCUCUGCAAAUUUUGAAAGAGUAUUGUAUAAGGGGUAAUUAAACCAGUCUGUUUCUACAGCA